rnacentral:lncRNA from 1 species
UAAUUGAUUUGGUUUAAUAUUUGUUACUUUAUGAAGUGGCUGUAGACAUACACUGAUAACUUUGGUUUCUUUAAGAUGUUAGUAAGUGUAGGACUGUAAUCCUGUAGUAUUUUGCUUUAUAUAUAAGAGGCCGGUUUCCAUAUUGCUGAAUUAUUUAAGUAGAACAUAGAAAUCCUUGAUGUUCACUUUAAGAUAGAGAAAAUUGUGUUCUCGAUGCUUUGUGCAUUUGCAUCAGUUUGUUCUGUUUUUGAUGGUUCACUUGGGUGAGGAGUUUGGUGCUUUCAUAUAAACAAGUGAGUCAUCAUUUUCUUUUGCUAUGUUUGCUUUGUAGCAUUUGCUUAAAGUUCCAAUUGCCUAGCUGACUUCAGAUUUUAUGUUUGGAUCAAAAUACAGUGGCAAAACGAUCAUCCAUUUUUGACGAUCCAAGCAAAGAAAUCCAAGAAUUAACAGCUUUGAUAAAAAAUGAUAUCACGACACUUAACGUAGGAGUUUCUGAUUUACAAACACUCCAAGAUAUGGAGAUAGCUGAAUGAUAUCACGGCACUUAAUGUAGGAGUUUCUGAUUUACAAACCCUCCAAGAUAUGGAGGUAGCUGAUGGAACUCAUUCAAAAGAUAGAGUUGUUCAUUGUACUGCUGUUUGUGAUGAUUUGAAGACCAGACUAAUGGCUGCUACAAAAUCUUUCCAGGACGCACUAACUACUAGGACAAAGGUUGAUGCCAAGUGGGCUGUUACCAUUUUUCAUUUUAGCACCCUGAAGUAGAUGACUCAUCGUCUAACUCAAGAAUUUUAUUUUUUUCACUGCAGAAUAUGAAAGCACACGAGGAUCGGAAACAAAUAUUUUCUACAAAUCUCGCAAG